UUCUUCUAUUCUUCUCUCUAUACGUUGGUGUUCUAACCAAUAAUCACCGAAGCGAUGAUCUGUCCGAUCGAUUCAGGAACCAACUAACAAAUGCCAAAGUGUUGUACUUUGUGAAUUUCGUUAAACGGAAUCCAAAGUGAUAUACUUUGUGAGUUCAAUAAAUGGAUGCCAAAGUACUGUCUGAAUAAGACUAUCCUUUGUGAAUUUUGUUAAGGUUCGAAUCUCGUGACUACCGUUAGGUUUGAUUUGGGUUUUAUACAAAUACGUAUUCCAUUCUGUUAAACUAUAUGUUUAACUACCAGAAUACUCCCAACUACACACUUACAAUCAAACAAGCUGUUAAACCAUCAGAAGAUUCAGAACAAUAAAGUAUAUGCUUAAUUAUCAGAAGGAGUAGAAUCAAGAAGCUUGUUAAAUCAGUACUGCAUGCUUAUAAAGUGAAUACAGUAGGUGGGAAUAAGAGUUGGAUACGGCACCAAAAGGCUUACAGACGUGGCUUAAUUUAUCAAUUCAAAUCAAAUUAAGAAAAGUAUUUUUAUGUAAACGGGUUUAUCCCAUAUUAAAGCUACCUUUCAAAACAUGGGUUUAUCUCAUCUAUUUGAUAAAUAAAAUCCGGUGUUUUCUAAACUCUGAUAUUUUUCCUAACUCACGGUCCUGAUGAAAUUUCCGUUGCACUACUUUUCUAAAUAACCACCGGUACCACUUGACUGCUCGCGGCUCCCGAUUCCGUCCAGGGUGGGAUCGGGGGUCGUGACAUAAUUUGAGUGUCGUGAAUGCAUAUAUAAGUAUUUGCACGUAUAAAGAGUAUCGAAACACGUAUUUAAACGACUGAUUGUAUGUAUAACAAAUAUGUAUAAAGAAUGAAUUUCAUUAUGAUCAAUUCUCGGAUUAUAAGGUUGGAAAAUGAAAUACGAUUACAAUGAGGAUACAAGUUUCCAAAAAUAGAAACACAGACAAACAUUCUAAAUAAGGAAAGUUCCAAAAUGCGAAGCGUUACAUGAAUGCCUUCACCAGUAUUUUCUGCUGAAAAAAUGUUUUUAAACAUCUUUCAGGUAAUUACAGCAGAUCUGUAUCAUCUGCAUGUUUGUUAAAGGGCAUAUUUCAAUCCGGUAACAUAUGAAUGUGUCAACUUUGUAUGUUGUUUAAUCAUAACUAGUUUUUUUACAUCGUGCGUUGCGACGAAACCGAGCAAAUGAUAAUGUAAAACAAACGUGAUUUGAAAAUAAAACAUGUUGUUUAGAAAGCCAAACCAUUAGAACAAUUUAUUUACCAUUGUACCGUUUUAUGAUAUCAAAUAAAUACGCCAUUUUGAGUACAACUUCGUUUUAACAAAACUUAUAACGGAAUGUCGACGGAAAAAAUAAAGCACAACUACGUACUUAAGUUUUUAGAAAAAAGUUAUAAACGUAAAUUAUUAAAGAAGUAUCAAAUUAUUUGAUAAAUUAAUAUAUAUUCUAAAAAAAAGAAAAAAAUUAAAAAAUGGUAAAGGAAAUAUAU
rnacentral:lncRNA from 1 species